AGCAGAAUUUUUAUAAGUUAUUUGCACAGCCAACCUUUACCACUCAUCUGGAACCUUUAUUUCUUCAGGAACCCUUUUCAAGUUGGGCCCCCGCUCACCUGCUGGAGUUGGGGACCAAGAAUGUGGAGAGAAGGGAGAGUUUCCUAUUUCCUUUCAGACGUGACUCUAUCCUCAGCAUCAUCUAUAGUAGAGAUGGAAAAAAGAGGGAGAAAUGGUGGGGAGGGGAGGCAAAGGUGUGUAUGGAGGACACUCCUUGUAGCUCGAGUCCCUUUGGGCUAGCUGCUCCCCUGGUGGAAGCUGCUCUCCAUGCCAUGCUGGUUUACUUAUUAGGGUCCUUUUGUCAGUCAUUCAGGUCUGUACAUGACUUUUUUCUCAUGUUCUUCUUUUGCCACAAAAGCAACUAUGGCUCUGAUUCCAAGCACAGUCAAUGAGCAGCUACCAAGGGGUGGUGGGGUGGGGGGUCCUAGAAGUCAUCUGUCUUAGGAAUGUCAUCUUGGCAACACUGUUCUGUCUGUACUAGUCGGGGAAGAAUAAAGGCAGAAGGCCCAUCACACACACUUUAGAUAGAGACAUCUUCUGAGGGAGGUUAGGAGAGGAUGGUCUCUCCUGAAGAGCUUUGCCUCGAGCCCUGAGUGCGUUCUCUCAAGAGUAGAACAUGGAUAUUUCCUCAGAACGUCAGGGCAUUUUAGUGUCAUCUGGAUAGUACAUAAAAGCUAUCCGCUGUAAUGAAAAUUACACCAGCUUGGAAUCUGAAGACUUAGGUUUGAGAUCUGCCUCUUGCACAUCCUAGCUACAGCUAAAUUGCCUUCUUCACAGCAUAGUAAUGAGGGGCGAAUGAGAAACGUUAUGACGACACUUUGUACACCGUAAAGUUGUGCAAAUAUUAGUUAGUUUGCUGUGGUUACCUAGCAAUACUCAGGGAUUAUCCUUGUCUAGGUUCCAGUUAAGUAGCCAGGGUUGAUGUACCUGAAGGCUUAGCAGGUUCAAUUACAACUGAAGGGUGAAAUUAGAUGAUAAAGGCUCUUACACGGGUUUCAUUUUGAGGACCUGGCACAACACUACAGUUUCUUCUCUCCAUCUCUCCCUUGGAUGUGCUGCUUCAGACCCGGCCCUCCUUCCCACGGCCCUCUCCCCUCACAUUUUCAUCGCCUCAGAGAGGAGACAGAUUUCCCAUGACCACUUGUGCCUAACGGCCAGUCUCAAGCCUUCAGAUCCUCCUAGGCAACUCAUCUUGACCUCAACGAUCACUUCCUGACUUGCUGGGCUGCAUCAACCUUCUGGCCUUGCCUCCAUUUGAUCCCUUUGGCCUCUGCUGAACCUUGGGACUUAAGGCCCCCAGCUCAGGGCUCCUCUCACCACUGCCAAUGACCUGUUUGUUCCCAGCUCCCCGGGACUGGUCUGCUUAUCAUGUCUCUAAUCCCUGUGGUUGGAGCUGUGAAGAAAAAGCUUCUGGGCAAGAUGCCACUAGCAAGCCUGUCUCCCUAGGAACAGACCCCUUUUCUCUCUAGUCGUUCAGAAACCUACCCCUCCUCUCACAGCUGUGUGAAAAGAAGCCAAAUGCCCAUUCUUAAUGUGUGACGACUGAGGCUCACAUGCAGACUGCUGUUAUCUCAGCAGGAGAGCAAUUUGCAACCAUUUAAAACCCGUUCUCUCUUCCCCUCUCCUCAGUGUAUGCUUACACACACCCUAGUCCAUAUUUAUUAGUGCAGAUGGUGAGAUGCUCGUCAUUGAAAGGCCUGAGAGCACAGAGCGAAAUGGAUUUUUGGCCUCACUCUGGCCUUAUAAACAAGAAGGCUUGAAUGAUUUUAGGUUCCUGAUUCUUGCCUCAAAAGAGCACAGUUUGCUUCUCUCCAAACACAAGAGGUUGUAAAUUGGUAAUUCAUCUCAACCAAAGGCCACAUGAUGAGCAAUUGUAGAAGCAUUUUUUUCCUUGUUGUGCAAAGGAGGAACCUGACAUCUGAGUGUGGGUUCCAGCUGGUACUUGCCUUCUACCAUUCGCAGCCUGAAGGCACCGUCAUGGCCAGCCCUGGGCUCCCCGACCUCCUCCUGCCUUUCACCUGCGUCCCACCAGGGCCAUUGCCAGGGGAGAAGUCAGCUCAGCAUUUCUACGUGACUCUUUCUUUCUUUUUUUUUCAGCUAAAAAAUAAAUCAGUUCUAAUAAAAACAUUUAUACUAUAUUCUUUA